rnacentral:rRNA from 1 species
GGUAGACUACUUUCGGGUAGUUGAGAGUGGCGAACGGGUGCCUCACGCGUAUGAAACCUACCUUGUACAGGGGGAUAGCCCGGAAAAAUUCGGAUUAAUACCCCAUAGCAUUACCAGAUGGCAUCUGAAGGUAAUUAAACAUUUAUCGGUACAAGAUGGGCAUGCGUGACAUUAGUUAGUUGGUAGGGUAACGGCCUACCAAGACUAUGAUGUCUAGGGGUUCUGAGAGGAUGAUCCCCCACACUGGUACUGAGAUACGGACCAGACUCCUACGGGAGGCAGCAGUAAGGAAUAUUGGUCAAUGGGCGAGAGCCUGAACCAGCCAUGCCGCGUGCAGGAAGACGGCCUUCUGGGUUGUAAACUGCUUUUAUACGGGAAGAAAAGACCCUUGCCAGGGAGAUUGCCGGUACCGUAUGAAUAAGCACCGGCUAACUCCGUGCCAGCAGCCGCGGUAAUACGGAGGGUGCAAGCGUUGUCCGGAUUUAUUGGGUUUAAAGGGUGCGUAGGCGGGCCUUUAAGUCAAUGGUGAAAGCCUGCAGCUUAACUGUAGAACUGCCAUUGAUACUGGAGGCCUUGAGUGUACUAGAGGUAGGCGGAAUUUAUGGUGUAGCGGUGAAAUGCAUAGAUACCAUAAAGAACACCGAUAGCGUAGGCAGCUUACUGGAGUACCACUGACGCUGAGGCACGAAAGCAUGGGGAGCGAACAGGAUUAGAUACCCUGGUAGUCCAUGCCGUAAACGAUGAUUACUCCAUGUUGGCGAUACACUGUCUACCUCCCAAGCAAAAGGUUAAGUAAUCCCCCU